UACAGAGGUCUCAAGCGUUGUUCGGAUUCAUUGGGCGUAAAGGGUGCGUAGGCGGCGCGGUAAGUCGGAUGUGAAAGCUCGGAGCUCAACUCCGAAAUGGCAUUGGAAACUACCCUGCUGGAGGUUUGGAGGGGGGACUGGAAUACUUGGUGUAGCAGUGAAAUGCGUAGAUAUCAAGUGGAACACCAGUGGCGAAGGCGAGUCCCUGGACAAAACCUGACACUGAGGCACGAAAGCUAGGGGAGCAAACAGG
rnacentral:rRNA from 1 species